rnacentral:lncRNA from 1 species
GCGCGGCCGUGUGGGCGGGGGGGGCCGCAGCGCUGAGUGCUGCCCCACAGCGCGGAGCUGCGGUGUGAGAAGGGAAAAAUGAAGGGAAACGGCGAUGGGAAAGUGCCCGGGGGGUGUCUGAUGAAAGAGGCCGGAGUUGCUGCCUUCACCCUUUCUCCGCUGCCUCCCCGUUCUACCAGUCUGUUCUGUGUCCAGGCAACUGCAAAGAGGCAUUUCAAAGGCUCCUGCCGUGCCAUGGAGAUGUUUUCUCUUGUUAGUUUGGACUGCAGGAGUUCCAUCUUGUCGCAUUAUUUCCAACCUGACAGAGCAGCUCUGUGCCGGAUCCCGACGUGUUUCAGCAGCGUGGUGUUGGAGAGGAGCACGCAGCGCAGCCGAAUUGAGGGAGCGCUGGGAACACUGGGCCGGCUGCUGAGCACCCCCCGCUCCCGUUGGCUGCAGGGCAGGAUCAGCCCCUCGCUCGCCGUUCACCCAACGAGGUCUCCCCAUCUGGCUCUGCUUUCUGGAAGCGCUGUUUCCCCAGGCUGCGGGGCACAGAGCUCCACGGAGCGGUGCUGA